AGCCCUGAGGUGUUUAUCAUAUUAGAUUGCAAAUCUAAAGAAGCAGGCUAAUCGUCUGCCGGGGCUU
rnacentral:tRNA from 1 species